ACAGGGUUGAGAAUAAUGAUGCGGAGAUGGUGCUGAAACAACAGUCAGAGCAUCUUAUCUAUUCACUGUUGUCCAAUGAAAACUAUUGAGGUCACUGGGAUGCCCCCUGGUCAUCAAGGACGUUAUUGACCAUCAUUCACCUCUAGAGGAUUGUGUCCAGUUUGAUUUCAGUAAUGUCACACCUAUAUGUCCUCUCCUCUUUUCGCUGAUGCAGGAUACCACAAGUGGCCGGUCUGUCCUUUUCUCCAAUCUCCUCCCCAUCCUCCUAACCUGGCCAGAGCAUCAGCACCUUGGCUUUAGACUGCUUACUGCUUAUACAGUGUCACAGUACAGUAACAGUCUACAGUCAUGGCUACUGAAGCCUGGCAAUGCACCGGACACCGCGCUGGAGCGAUGUCAACCUGAAGAAAAGAAAGAAGCACCAUGAAAGGAAACCUGUGUGGGCUUGCAUUGGGGGAGUCCUACACUGUCGAAGUGCGUAAUACCCACGCGCAAACCAAUGAGACCUUGCAGCUUCCAGUUUCCAGUUACCAUGCCGACUCCGGCUCCUCCUCCUCCACCCUGCUGUCUCCAUGGCGACCGUGGCUUUAGAUUGUUACUCUAGCAACAGGAACAUGGUAACAGUCUACAGCCAUGGUCGUUAGGGACAGCUGCCGCGAGGAAAGGAGAGAGAAGACUGGAAAAGUUUCGUUGUAGCUAAUGGUUAAGUUUGUUUCUGAUGUAGCUCCUGUCAUUUAGAAAGUAGGUCAGAGGUCGUUCAGUCAUCCUUGUACUCUGCUGUCCCGAGUUUUUCAGUUUGACUUUUGUUAUCGCUGUUAGUUUCUGUGCAAGUCCUUCGAAAGUCCUUUAAUGUUGUAAUUCUUUUUGUUCUGAUGUAACUUUAUGUGACAAAAUACCCAUGAUGCAAUCUACCUGUUUCCCCCGAGGGCAGCUUAACAACCAAGCACGCAAUGACACAUAAUGACACAUAUUGUUUCAUCUGUAUUUUUAUUGGAUAUAAUGAGUUUCUUUACGGCUCGACCCCCGGGUACAGUCAUAAAAUCAGCGAGCACGGAUGCUGAACGGAUGAGUCAGCCGGCUCCAACACCUGUUCCGACCUCUUGUUUAUCAGACAAGAGCAGCCUCACUUCAAAGCAGCACAGCCGGGAAAUCCCAGUGGGCCGCGCAGUGACCUGCUGGCAGACAUAAACCAUACACUGGGUCUACACAGGUGGGCUAACCCACACGCAGACACGCACACAUGCAGCUUGCUCGCAAAAAAACUGACACUCACAAAGAGUAGAGUAUAGUCCUUGAGCCACUCCACCUCAAGUUCCACUGAUAUCCAGAGUUAUGCUGCCCUCUACAGGUCGUAACAAAGGUAGCAACCGUUUUCCAAGCUGCAACAUGUGCCUGAUUUAAUAAAAUCAAAUACAAACA